rnacentral:rRNA from 1 species
AGUGAACGCUGGCGGUAGGCCUAACACAUGCAAGUCGAACGGCAGCACAGUAAGAGCUUGCUCUUACGGGUGGCGAGUGGCGGACGGGUGAGGAAUACAUCGGAAUCUACUUUUUCGUGGGGGAUAACGUAGGGAAACUUACGCUAAUACCGCAUACGACCUACGGGUGAAAGCAGGGGAUCUUCGGACCUUGCGCGAUUGAAUGAGCCGAUGUCGGAUUAGCUAGUUGGCGGGGUAAAGGCCCACCAAGGCGACGAUCCGUAGCUGGUCUGAGAGGAUGAUCAGCCACACUGGAACUGAGACACGGUCCAGACUCCUACGGAAGGCAGCAGUGGGGAAUAUUGGACAAUGGGCGCAAGCCUGAUCCAGCCAUACCGCGUGGGUGAAGAAGGCCUUCGGGUUGUAAAGCCCUUUUGUUGGGAAAGAAAAGCAGCAGGUUAAUACCCCGCUGUUCUGACGGUACCCAAAGAAUAAGCACCGGGUAACUUCGUG